rnacentral:rRNA from 1 species
GACGAACGCUGGCGGCGUGCCUAAUACAUGCAAGUCGAACGCAGUGGGGACGGGUGAGUAACACGUGGGUCACCUUCCAUAAGAUGGGAUAACACUUGGAAACAGGUGCUAAACCGAUACUGAUGGAUGAACCCGCGGUGCAUUAGCUAGUUGGUGAGGUAACGGCGCACCAAGGCCCCGAUGCAUAGCCGACCUGAGAGGGGGAUCGGCCACACUGGGACCGAACCACGGCCCAGACUCCUACGGGAGGCAGCAGUAGGGAAUCUUCGGCAAGGGACGAAAGUCGGACCGAGCAACGCCGCGUGAGUGAGGAGAGUUUUCGGAUCGUAAAACUCUGUUGUUAGAGAAGCGGUAUCUAACCAGAAAGCCACGGCUAACAACGUGCCAGCAGCCGCGGUAAUAC